rnacentral:rRNA from 1 species
GACGAACGCUGGCGGCGUGCUUAACACAUGCAAGUCGAACGGAAAGGCCCUGCUUUUGUGGGGUGCUCGAGUGGCGAACGGGUGAGUAACACGUGAGUAACCUGCCCUUGACUUUGGUAUAACUUCACGAAACUGGGGCUAAUAUCGGAUAGGAGCUCCUGCUGCAUGGUGGGGGUUGGAAAGUUUCGGCGGUUGGGGAUGGACUCGCGGCUUAUCAGCUUGUUGGUGGGGUAGUGGCUUACCAACGGUUUGACGGGUAGGCGGCCUGAGAGGGUGACCGGCAACAUUGGUACUGAGAUACGGCCCAGAGUCCUACGGGAGGCAGCAGUGGGGAAUAUUGCACAAUGGGCGGAAGCCUGAUGCAGCAACGCCGCGUGCGGGAUGACGGUCUUCGGGUUGUAAACAGCUUUCGCCUGUGACGCAGCGUGAGUGACGGUAAUGAGUAAAGAAGCACCGGCUAACUACGUG